ACGGAAUAGAUACCCAGGUAGUCCACGCCGUAAACGAUGUCAACUAGCCGUUGGGUUCACUUAAGAACUUAGUGGCGCAGCUAAACGCGAUAAGUUGACCGCCUGGGGAGUACAGCCGCAAGGUUAAAACUCAAAGGAAUUGACGGGGGUCCCGCACAAGCGGUGGAGCAUGUGGUUUAAUUCGAUGCAACGCGAAGAACCUUACCUGCCCUUGACAUCCACGGAACUUUCCAGAGAUGGAUUGGUGCCUUCGGGAACCGUGAGACAGGUGCUGCAUGGCUGUCGUCAGCUCGUGUCGUGAGAUGUUGGGUUAAGUCCCGCAACGAGCGCAACCCUUGUCCUUAGUUGCCAGCAUUAACGUUGGGCACUCUAGGGAGACCGCCGGUGAC
rnacentral:rRNA from 1 species